UGCAGUCGACGAGUUCUGAUUAUUGAAAGGUGCUUGCAUCUUGAUUUAAUUUUGAACGAGUGGCGGACGGGUGAGUAACACGUGGGUAACCUGCCCUUAAGUGGGGGAUAACAUUUGGAAACAGAUGCUAAUACCGCAUAAAUCCAAGAACCGCAUGGUUCUUGGCUGAAAGAUGGCGUAAGCUAUCGCUUUUGGAUGGACCCGCGGCGUAUUAGCUAGUUGGUGAGGUAACGGCUCACCAAGGCAAUGAUACGUAGCCGAACUGAGAGGUUGAUCGGCCACAUUGGGACUGAGACACGGCCCAAACUCCUACGGGAGGCAGCAGUAGGGAAUCUUCCACAAUGGACGCAAGUCUGAUGGAGCAACGCCGCGUGAGUGAAGAAGGCUUUCGGGUCGUAAAACUCUGUUGUUGGAGAAGAAUGGUCGGCAGAAUAACUGUUGUCGGCGUGACGGUAUCCAACCAGAAAGCCACGGCUAACUACGUGCCAGCAGCCGCGGUAAUACGUAGGUGGCAAGCGUUAUCCGGAUUUAUUGGGCGUAAAGCGAGCGCAGGCGGUUUUUUAAGUCUGAUGUGAAAGCCCUCGGCUUAACCGAGGAAGUGCAUCGGAAACUGGGAAACUUGAGUGCAGAAGAGGACAGUGGAACUCCAUGUGUAGCGGUGAAAUGCGUAGAUAUAUGGAAGAACACCAGUGGCGAAGGCGGCUGUCUGGUCUGUAACUGA
rnacentral:rRNA from 1 species